rnacentral:rRNA from 1 species
UUGAUCCUGGCUCAGAAUCAACGCUGGCGGCGUGCCUAACACAUGCAAGUCGAGCGAGAGAAGGGGAGCAAUCCUCUGAGUAAAGCGGCGCACGGGUGAUUAACACGUGGGUAACCUACCCUAGAGUGGGGAAUAACACCGGGAAACCGUUGCUAAUACCGCAUACGAUCACGAUGUCUUCGGAUGUUGUGAUGAAAGGUGCAAUUCGCUCUUGGAGGGGCCCGCGGCUGAUUAGCUAGUUGGUAAGGUUACGGCUUACCAAGGCUACGAUCAGUAUCCGGUCUGAGAGGACGGUCGGAUACACUGGAACUGAGACACGGUCCAGACUCCUACGGGAGGCAGCAGUGGGUAAUUUUUGGCAAUGGGGGAAACCCUGACCAAGCAACGCCGCGUGGGUGAUGAAGUAUCUCGGUACGUAAAACCCUUUCGACGGGGAAGAAAGGCCGCAAUGCUUUGACGGUACCCGUAGAAGAAGCCCCGGCUAACUCCGUGCCAGCAGUCGCGGUAAUAAGGU